UGAAACAUUAGUUCUCGUAUGAUCACUGAAGUUAAGCAACGUCAUGCCUGGACAGUACCUAGAUGGGUGACCACUUGGAAAUACCAGAUGCUAU